rnacentral:rRNA from 1 species
AUCCCGUCUUUGGCAUGGACCCCAGGGCUUCUGUGAUACGCUCUCAAAGAGUCGAGUUGUUUGGGAAUGCAGCUCAAAAUGGGUGGUGAACUCCAUCUAAAGCUAAAUAUUGGCGAGAGACCGAUAGCGAACAAGUACCGUGAGGGAAAGAUGAAAAGCACUUUGGAAAGAGAGUGAAACAGUACGUGAAAUUGUUGAAAGGGAAACGCUUGAAGUCAGUCGCGUCGACCGAGACUCAGCCUUGCUUCGGCUUGGUGUACUUCUCGGCUGACGGGUCAGCAUCAAUUUCGAUCCUUGGAUAAUGGCAAGGGAAAGGUAGCACCUUUACAGGUGUGUUAUAGUCCUCUGUCGCAUGCAAGGGUSGGGAUUGAGGAACUCAGCACGCGCCUUGUAGGUGUCGGGGCCUUUUGGCCUACGUACGUGCUUAGGAUGCUGGCAUAAUGGCUUUAAACGACCCGUCUUGAAACACGGACCAAGGAGUCUAACAUGCACGCGAGUGUUUGGGUGGAAAACCCGUGCGCGUAAUGAAAGUAAAAGUUGGGACCUCUGUCGUGGAGGGCACCGACGCCCGGACCAGACCUUCUGUGACGGCUCUGCGGUAGAGCGUGUAUGUUGGGACCCGAAAGAUGGUGAACUAUGCCUGAAUAGGGUGAAGCCAGAGGAAACUCUGGUGGAGGCUCGUAGCGAUUCUGACGUGCAAAUCGAUCGUCAAAUUUGG